UACGGAGGGAGCAAGCGUUACUCGGAAUUAUUGGGCGUAAAGGGCGCGUAGGCGAUUUGAAAAGUCUUGUGUGAAAGCCCCGAGCUUAACUCGGGAAGUGCACAAGAAACUGUUGAAUUUGAGUUCCGGAGAGGAAGGCAGAAUUCCCGGUGUAGCGGUGAAAUGCGUAGAUAUCGGGAGGAAUACCAGUGGCGAAGGCGGCCUUCUGGACGGAUACUGACGCUGAGGCGCGAAAGCCAGGGGAGCAAAGCGGG
rnacentral:rRNA from 1 species